rnacentral:rRNA from 1 species
GAUGAACGCUGGCGGCGUGCCUAAUACAUGCAAGUAGAACGCUGAAGGAGGAGCUUGCUCUUCUGGAUGAGUUGCGAACGGGUGAGUAACGCGUAGGUAACCUGCCUGGUAGCGGGGGAUAACUAUUGGAAACGAUAGCUAAUACCGCAUGACAACAGUUAUUGCAUGAUAACUGUUUAAAAGGGGCAACUGCUCCACUACCAGAUGGACCUGCGUUGUAUUAGCUAGUUGGUGAGGUAACGGCUCACCAAGGCGACGAUACAUAGCCGACCUGAGAGGGUGAUCGGCCACACUGGGACGGAGACACGGCCCAGACUCCUACGGGAGGGAGCAGUAGGGAAUCUUCGGCAAUGGACGGAAGUCUGACCGAGCAACGCCGCGUGAGUGAAGAAGGGUGUCGGAUCGGAAAGCUCGGUUGUAAGAGAAGAACGAGUGUGAGAGUGGAAAGUUCACACUGUGACGGUAUCUUACCAGAAAGGGACGGCUAACUACGUG